rnacentral:rRNA from 1 species
AGAGUUUGAUCAUGGCUCAGAUUGAACGCUGGCGGCAUGCCUAACACAUGCAAGUCGAACGGCAGCAUGCUCUGUAGCAAUACAGAGUGAUGGCGAGUGGCGGACGGGUGAGUAACGCGUAGGAAUCUGCCCUAAAGCGGGGGAUAACUCAGCGAAAGUUGAGCUAAUACCGCAUAAUCUCUUCGGAGUAAAGCAGGGGAUCUUUUGACCUUGUGCUUUGGGAUGAGCCUGCGUAAGAUUAGCUAGUUGGUAGGGUAAAAGCCUACCAAGGCAACGAUCUUUAGCUGGUCUGAGAGGACGACCAGCCACAUUGGGACUGAGACACGGCCCAAACUCCUACGGGAGGCAGCAGUGGGGAAUAUUGGACAAUGGGGGAAACCCUGAUCCAGCGAUGCCGCGUGUGUGAAGAAGGCCUGCGGGUUGUAAAGCACUUUCGGUGGGGAGGAAAAGCUCAAGGCUAAUAUCUUUGAGAUUUGACGUUACCCGCAUAAGAAGCACCGGCUAACUCUGUGCCAGCAGCCGCGGUAAUACAGAGGGUGCAAGCGUUAAUCGAAGUUACUGGGCGUAAAGCGUGCGUAGGCGGAUAUUUAAGUCGGGUGUGAAAUCCCCGGGCUCAACCUGGGAACUGCACUCGAUACUGGAUGUCUAGAGUAUGGUAGAGGAAAGUGGAAUUUCCGGUGUAGCGGUGAAAUGCGUAGAUAUCGGAAAGAACAUCAGUGGCGAAGGCGGCUUUCUGGACCUAUACUGACGCUGAGGUACGAAAGCGUGGGGAGCAAACAGGAUUAGAUACCCCUGGUAGUCCACGCUGUAAACGAUGAAAACUAGAUGUUAGUCCAGCUAUUAAAUCAUAAUUAAUAAACUGAUAUGAUUUAGUAGCUGGAUUGGUAUCGAAGCUAACGCGUUAAGUUUUCCGCCUGGGGAGUACGGCCGCAAGGCUAAAACUCAAAGGAAUUGACGGGGGCUCGCACAAGCGGUGGAGCAUGUGGUUUAAUUCGAUGCUACCCGAAAAACCUUACCUACCCUUGACAUCCCUGGAAUCUUCUAGAAAUAGAGGAGUGCCUUCGGGAACCGGGUGACAGGUGCUGCAUGGCUGUCGUCAGCUCGUGUCGUGAGAUGUUGGGUUAAGUCCCGUAACGAGCGCAACCCUUGUCCUUAGUUGCCAACGAUUAAAGUCGGGAACUCUAAGGAGACUGCCGGUGAUAAACCGGAGGAAGGCGGGGACGACGUCAAGUCAUCAUGGCCCUUACGGGUAGGGCUACACACGUGCUACAAUGGGAAGUACAGAGGGUUGCCAAGUCGCAAGACGGAGCUAAUCCCAAAAAACUUUUCGUAGUCCAGAUUGGAGUCUGCAACUCGACUCCAUGAAGUUGGAAUCGCUAGUAAUCGCGAAUCAGCAUGUCGCGGUGAAUACGUUCUCGGGCCUUGUACACACCGCCCGUCACACCAUGGGAGUGAAUUGCACCAGAAGCGAGUGGGCUAACCGCAAGGAGGCCGCUCACCACGGUGUGUUUCAUGACUGGGGUGAAGUCGUAACAAGGUAGCCGUAGGGGAACCUGUGGCUGGAUCACCUCCUU